UGGCAGGGCGCUUGGCUGCCUCCUGCUCUGCUGCCUCGCAGGCUGCAGCUCCCUGCUGGUCUUGGUGCAGGGACGUGGGUCCUGUGCCCUGGGCUGUGGUGCCAUCUCUGGGUCUCUGCUGCUCUCCAGGCCUCCCGGGAAACGCUGCUCUGUUCCGCCCGAUUCCUGAAGAGGAAGGAUCUCCAGCAGAUGCUGCGGGUGGAUCAGACGUGGAGGUUCGGCGAGGGCCUGCUGGCACAGGACAGGAACCGAGCGGCCGAGGACCUGCAGCGGGCCCUGCUCUACCUGGGCAGCCCACAGGAGUCCCUGCGAGCGGCGGCCAUCAGGUUCAUUGGGAUGGCCGGGCAGCACCUCCGGGGGAACAAACGAGAGCUCCAGAGCAUCUGUCAGGCCCUUGAUGACAAGGCACAGGACAUCAGCCCUGUCAUCAGAAGGCUGGCUCUGGAAACAGCCUUUGUCCUCCGGGCAGCUCCAGGCUCCAUCUUGCACAAGUGGCAAGAUCGAUUCUGCAGGGCACGCAAGAACCGCCCUUGUCUGCGGGCCCGUGGCUGGUUGUGCUGCUGGAGCUCUGAGGAGAGCUGAUUUGAGAGGCUCUCUGUCUGCCGGGGCCAUCUGAGCCUGGCAGCAUUUUUCUUUAGGAUGUUUUUUUUCCUUUUUCUUUCGUUCUUCUUUAUUGUAGAGAUAUAGAAAUAGAAAUAUAUAGAAUAUAGAUAUAGAAUUAUAUAUAGAAAUAUAGAAU
rnacentral:lncRNA from 1 species